AUGUUCGGACUAUUGAGGAGAAAAAGGGUACUAUGUAGUUUUAUACUAUUUUUAGCCUAUAUAGAUUUAAGACUUGUUAAAAAUAAAAGAAAAUGUGCUGUUAAUACUGUUUUGAACAAAAUAUAUUAUCCAAAUAAAAGGGAAACACAAAAAAAAUGUUGGUAUUAUAUUUUGAAACAUAAUAAAGUAAACAAAAAAAAAAAUCGAAAAAAAAAUAAUAAUGAAUUAUACGAAAGUUGUAAGAAAAGACCAGAAAGAAAAAUAGAUUGUUAUGAAUUAAAUAUAAGAAAUGAUAAAUAUUUUUUAAAAUAUGCAAAGAAACCAGUAAGUCCUAUGUCUAAUUUACACAAUUUUUCACCUUUUAAAAAUAUUAUAGCUAGUUUUCAUCCUAUUAAUUUUGAUGUGAAAAAGAAAUUGAGAGAAGAAGGAUUUCAGUUUGAGAGUGAAAAAACAAAUUCGAAUAUUUUUCCAUCUCUUGAUGACAUUAUAAAAAAUGGAAAUCCAUCAACCAAUAUGCAUUUUUAUAGAAGGCAAAAAUUAAAAAGUAUAUUUUAUAGAGAUCCUUUAAAAUUUGUAAAUACAAAAAAAGUGAUUCAAAAGUAUAAUAGAACAGCAACACCGGAAAAACAAAUAAAUUAUGAUACAUUCAAAUGUGAUAUUUUUUAUGUACAUUCGGAUGGGACCAUCAUGAACAUUGAAGAAAAUAGGCCUCCAUAUGAAAAGAAGUUGGAAGAAAGCGAAAAGGAAAAAGAACCUAGAUUCGUUAUAAUGGCUCCACCCGGACAUGCGAAGGAAGAAAAUUUAAAGGUGGGAGAUAAAUUUCCAACUGUUAAUGAAGAACAUAAGAAAAAUCUAUUUGACAACCAUUUCGCCAAACCUAAGAAAAUUAGAGACCCAUUAGUUUUACCUGACGGUAGAAAAAUACCUUAAACAGUUUUUUUUUUUUUUUUCAUUUUUUUUUUAUUUUUUUUUCAUUUUUUUUUUUUUUUUUUUUUUUACUUCUUUACUCUUCUAAAACUUUGUUAAUAAAAAUAAAAUUAAACUAUGUGAACA
rnacentral:lncRNA from 1 species